UACGGAGGGUGCAAACGUUGCUCGGAAUCAUUGGGCGUAAAGCGCACGUAGGCGGCCUGUUAAGUCGGGUGUGAAAGCCCUGGGCUCAACCCAGGAAGUGCACUCGAAACUGGCGGGCUUGAAUAUGGAAGAGGGUCGCGGAAUUCCCGGUGUAGAGGUGAAAUUCGUAGAUAUCGGGAGGAACACCGGUGGCGAAGGCGGCGACCUGGGUAGAUACUGACGCUGAGGUGCGAAAGCGUGGGGAGCAAACAGG
rnacentral:rRNA from 1 species